rnacentral:rRNA from 1 species
UACGGAGGAUGCGAGCGUUAUCCGGAUUUAUUGGGUUUAAAGGGUGCGCAGGCGGAAGAUCAAGUCAGCGGUAAAAUUGAGAGGCUCAACCUCUUCGAGCCGUUGAAACUGGUUUUCUUGAGUGAGCGAGAAGUACGCGGAAUGCGCGGUGUAGCGGUGAAAUGCUUAGAUAUCGCGCAGAACCCCGAUUGCGAAGGCAGCGUACCGGCUCCACACUGACGCUGAGGCACGAAAGCGUGGGUAUCGAACAGG